CGACCCUUUCUUGGUCAUUUAGAGGAAGUAAAAGUCGUAACAAGGUUUUCUAAGCAACAGUCCUUCUGUAGCAGAGCUUAACGGAGACCUUGCACCCGGAGGGGGGACCGACUCUAAAGAACUCCCAGCGCAAGUCAGCACCGCUGGAACACAAUCGAAUUGCGGGGACGCUUUAAAGCUCACCAGUACCAACUACCUUCUAGGGUAGGGCUAGCACAGCUAGAGGUCACAACCUGGUGGGAUGGACAAUAAGCAAUCCGCAGCGGCUAAGCCGUCCACAGACUAAGUGGUUGUGGUAGGAGACCCCUAUCUAAGAUAUAGUCGGGCCUUGUGAGCAGUCACAGGGUUCUGCGUCCGUAGGUGAACCUGCGGAAGGAUCAUUACCUAAAAGGUACCCUCACCGGUAUACCCCACCCGUGUCUAUCUACUCUUGUUGCUUUGCAGGCCGUGGUCUCCCACUGUGGGCUCUGCCUGCAUGUGCCUGCCAGAGACCAAACUCUGAAUUUUAGUGAUGUCUGAGUACUAUAUAAUAGUUAAAAUUUCAACAACGGAUCUCUUGGUUCUGGCAUCGAUGAAGAACGCAGCGAAUGCGAUAAGUAAUGUGAAUUGCAGAAUUCAGUGAAUCAUCGAAUCUUUGACGCACAUUGCGCCCUGUGGUAUUCCGCAGGGCAUGCCUGUUCGAGCGUAUUAUAGCCACUCAAGCCUCGCUUGGUGUUGGGGCUCGCCAUCUGGCGGCUCUAAAAUCAGUGGCGGUGCCGGUAGGCUCUGAGCGUAGUACAUCUCCCGCUAUAGAGUCCUAUCGGUCCCCUGCCAAACCCCCAUAUUUUUAUAGGUGACCUCGGAUCACGUAGGGAUACCCGCUGAACUUAAGCAUAUCAAUAACGGAGGA
rnacentral:rRNA from 1 species